GUUAGCUAGAUACAGUAAUUCGCCAACAAAGAGGCAUUGGAACGGAGUUAAACACAUAUUUUGUUAUCUCCGGGGAACACACGAUCUCAGGCUGUAUUAUCAAUCAAAGCCAAACGCAUCUGUAACAGUCCAUAUUUUUAAGCAUGUUUUAAAUUAAGUAUUGUGUUUAUUAGUUUAACUAAGCUUUAUAUCAAACAGAGAUUACUAAGAAUUAUUAUUUUAAAUACAAUUAUGAUGGUGUGGAUUUUAUCAAUUUGAGGUAUUUGGUAAAUGAUUUGAAGCUUAAAAGAAAAAGAAAAAAAAUAUAUAUAACCCUCUUUUAUUCAUGUCAUGUUACCCGUGUCAUCAUCUCCUCAAGACAAGCAUUCCAAACUCUUUGAGAUGUCAAAAUUUUGGUGAAAUAAUUUCAGUUUAAUUACUCCAAGUUGAUCAAGAAUUGAAGAAACCAAAAUCAAAUCAAAACAAACCCCAAAAUCUCUUCUUUCCUCUCACCUCUGUUCUGUCCGUCUAUUUCAAGCAACAUGCAGUCAUUUUUUAGUCUUUGUUCCUUCAUCAAAGUUGUAGAUCUCUUCGAGAUAUUGAAUUUAGGCUCAAAAAUUUCUCGAUUCGGAGUUCGGAGCUAAGAGUUAUGCUCUCUGGAAGUUAUGGUUGUUGUUGCCAUUGUUGCAGCGUUUUUCUCUCUCCUCUUCUUCGUGGAUGUUCGGUUUUGAAUGUCUUUUGCAAGGUAUAACCUAGAUCUAUUCUCCCUUUUCUCUUAUUGAAUUACAAGAAUCUAAAUUCAGAAUAUAUAUUGAUGUUGUUAAGAACAUUCUUUAAAAUAAAAAUUCGAAUCUUGGGUAUAAUAGAAAAUCAGAUUAUUGUUGUUUUUGGAUGUUGGGAAAAAGAUUAAAACUUUCUUCUGUUUAAUUGAUUGAAAUUGGUUUUGGAAUAUAUAAUCUUAGUAAGCUUGCUAAAUUAGAUUUUUCAAGUUCUGUUUCGUAUAUUUCAAAUCCAAAUCCUAAUUUCAUGUAUGCAAAUCAGUGUGAUGGUUUCCCAAAUUUCAGUAAUUAGAGUUGGAUAUUGUCAAUGUGAAUUAGAUUGAGAAAUGAUUGUAUAUAAGUUGGGUUAUGGGUUAUGUUAAAGUAAGAAUUCAGAUUUAUAAAGGUUAAGUUAUUGAUUUAACAAGAAGUUUAGUUGCAUCUACUUAGUGAUAUUGAGGACAUGUGUAUGAUGGACUAUGAUCUAUGUCUUAAGUUAAGUUUAUGAAACCUGAUUAUAAUGAGUUAUGUUGUUUAAUAAUAUUAUCUGUGAAUUAUACUUGGGAAUAAAUGGAAUCAAAAUGUGAGUUGGUUAGAAAAUGAUUUGCAUAUAAGAGUGGUAUUAGUUCAUAUAAGAGUUUAGAAAUAUAUAAGCAAGUUAAGAUGGUCAAUUUGAGUUGUUCUAAAGAUGGAUACUAAUUUUUAUUGUUCUUAUGAGGUGAAUGAUUGUGAAACUUGAGUAUAAUUUGGAUAAGAAGGAUAUUGGAUUCUUGAGGAUAAUUUUGGAGUUGGGUGCUAUUUGAAGAUGCAUAGAGGUACCGAUGGUGAUAACGGGAUGGCGUAGCAGUGAGGACUUAAUUAAUAUCUAGAUUAUCUAGACUCUCAUGGUUUUAAUUUAAGUUUAUGUCAAAACUCUGAUUAGUAACUAAGUUUCUAUUAAUCAAGACUAAUGUUGGAUCUAUAUUAUGCUUCAUGUUAUAAAUGUUUAAGUUUAUGAUUUUA